GAGGUCUACACUACCUUCAUACUAGCUACGCCAAAGCAGUUAUACAUCGUGAUGUCAAAUCAGCAAACAUAUUGCUUGAUGAGAAUAUGAUGGCAAAAGUAGCUGAUUUCGGACUUUCUAAGGCAGGACCCGAGCUCGAUCAAACUCAUGUUAGCACGGCAGUGAAAGGGAGCUUCGGGUACCUAGAUCCCGAAUAUUUCAGGAGGCAGCAAUUGACUGAGAAAAGUGAUGUUUACUCUUUUGGUGUUGUUCUGUUUGAAGUUCUUUGUGCUAGGCCUGUAAUCGAUCCAUCUCUUCCAAGGGAGAUGGUUAA
rnacentral:misc_RNA from 1 species